AUAGAUCUACAAAGGGUAAUCGGUAGAUCAAGUGAUUUACUUAUUAUAUACACACACAUUAUUUGUAUCCCAAAUUCUUCCAUAGAUGUAAUCCCUGUAUAAUUAAUUUUAAUUACUUUUAAUUCAUCUGUUACCACCCUACGUCUUUCAGAAUGUUGAUGGACCAGUCAAGAAAAAAACCCGUUAUGAAAAUACUUCUUUAUCUUAAUGUUCUGCUUAUUGCAAUUCCUUCUUUUGCAUACCCAAUUGGCGUUUAUAGCGCCACUACAUGUAUUGAUUCCGUCCAUUUGUGUAUCUAUUAUCUAUGAUUCCGUCACAAGAAAUCAUAAAGAACAAAAAUUCAAAGAAAACAUCUCUUAAAAUUUUUUUGAAUCUAGGAGAAUUCAUGUUGCUAUUUUACAUUAAAUGCUACCCUUUUCACUUUGUAAAUCUAUUAUCUUUGAAUGCUGCUUGGUGUCCCCAUUUUUAAGAUUUUGCAGCUUUACUUGCGUCUAGAUUGACGAUAAAUAAGAGUGAAAGAGUUCAUUUUGAUGCUACUGAGAAGUAAAUCGUCUACUGUAGUGUGCUCUUCAUCUUUGAGGAUAAUAUAGUUAAUUUUGGCGAACAUACAUGCUAUAAUAUACAUAUUUUAUUUAUUUACCACAAUUACAAAUCUAGUCCAAGUAUAUUUAUUUGAAUUAACUUUAACAUUGUAUUAUGCACGUAAUUUUCUAAAUUAUAUGUGGAUACUCUUAUUUCAUUAGAUUUCAUUUUACAGGAACAUACCCUCCAGAAAGUAGCUGCACCUGUACUCCCAAAGAAAGCAUGAAGUACUUUCUUUCUAUUUGGAAUGGAGACAGUGUGCCAUUGCUAAAGGAAAGAUUUAUGACAAUGAAUGCACUGGAAUAUUUUCAAAACUUUGGAUGUCAUAUGUUAUGCAGAAUAGAUUGUAUCAGCCCUCCUUUACUCAACAAAAUAGCAGUACUUAAAGUCCUAAAGAAAAAUGGCUCUUUUUUGGUUGGGAACGAGUGGGUAAGUAACAAUAUCAAUUAAAAAUAAUGGAUGAGAUUCCAGAAAGGUCAAGUUCUUGGACAUUUGUAAUGCUCUUUUAAUAGUUAAGUUUUAAACAUUAUUUCGGAAAUGUCAACAAACAGCAGCAGAAUUAAUAUACAACUUGAUUCUUUCUGACAGUGUUAAAGUUAACAUAAUAAAAGAGAUGGAGCAUUUAUUUUAAUUUUUGUAUAUAUUAACCUGAGUAAGAGGAUAAGAAGUCAAGGAACAAGGAGUAUUAAAUCAUUGAAUUUUGAACAUAAGAGAUGUUUAUUUUGAUUAAUAACUAAUGGUACAUUAAUAACAUGCACAUCAAUUAUUUUUCCUUUCACCUGUCUCUAACUUCACCAUUAAAACGCCGUUAUUUCUUUCCAAAUUUGUAUGGUUUUUUGCAUGUUUGAAUUUUAGAACAUUAUAGUCUGCAGCUAACAAAGGUGAGAAUAUAUAGUACAUACGUCUAUCUAACUUCUUUUUAUAAUGAAAUGUCGAAG